rnacentral:rRNA from 1 species
UGAGGAAUCUUGCGCAAUGGGCGAAAGCCUGACGCAGCGACGCCGCGUGGAUGAUGAAGGCUUUCGGGUCGUAAAAUCCUUUUCUGUGUGACGAGGAAGGACGGUAGCACAGGAAUAAGUCUCGGCUAACUACGUGCCAGCAGCCGCGGUAAAACGUAGGAGGCGAGCGUUAUCCGGAGUUACUGGGCGUAAAGCGCGUGUAGGCGGUUUUUCAGGUCCGAUGUGAAAGCUCCCAGGCUAAACCGGGAGAGGUCAUUGGAAACCGAGAAGCUAGAGGCUGAGAGAGGGACAUGGAAUUCCGGGUGUAGUGGUGAAAUGCGUAGAGAUCCGGAGGAACACCAGAGGCGAAGGCGGUGUCCUGGCUCAGAACUGACGCUGAGACGCGAAAGCAUGGGGAGCGAACGGGAUUAGAUACCCCCGUAGUCC